GCAGCUAUAGUAUAAGCUAUUACCCCACAUUUUCAUUGUGGAAAUGAAUAUUUGUUCUAGCAGCU
rnacentral:tRNA from 1 species